AGAGAGAGACAUGCGCGCAUAUCAAUAAGCGGAGGAAAAGAAACUAACAAGGAUUCCCCUAGUAACGGCGAGUGAAGCGGGAAGAGCUCAAAUUUGAAAUCUUAAAGGGUUUCCCUUUACGAAUUGUAGUUUAAAGGAGUGUUUUCUGUUGAGGUUUUGGUAAAAGUUCUUUGGAAUAGGACAUCAUAGAGGGUGAGAAUCCCGUAUUUGACCUUUACUUUCAACUUUGUGAUACACUUUCAAAGAGUCGGAUUGUUUGGGAAUGCAGUCCAAAAUGGGUGGUAAAUUUCAUCUAAAGCUAAAUAUUGGCGAGAGACCGAUAGCGAACAAGUACCGUGAGGGAAAGAUGAAAAGAACUUUGAAAAGAGAGUUAAACAGUACGUGAAAUUGUCAAAAGGGAAGCGUUUGACACCAGUGUUGUUUUUCUGAAAAUCAAUUAAAGAACUGUUUAUGCUAAGCUGUUUAGACUUUAUCAGCUAACUGUUUAGUUUUGAGCUUUUCUUUAAUGCACUUUUCAGUUAACAAGUCAACAUCAAUUUCUUUUGCUGUAAAAAAGCUUGAGGAAGGUGGCUUGAGAUUCGUCUUAAGUGUUUAUAGCCUCUUGCCUAUGCAGUCGGAGAGAUUGAGGUCUGCAGCGUAGAUCCUUCGGGGCUAAAUGCAUUUGUGCUAAGUUAUAGCAUUUUAUAGACAACUUGUUGACUAUGAUUUGUCUUGUAGCUUACUCGCUUAUGUUAUUUUACCUACGCUUAGGAUGUUGAGCGCAUGUCUCUCUCU
rnacentral:rRNA from 1 species